rnacentral:rRNA from 1 species
UACGUAGUGUGCAAGCGUUGUCCGGAAUUAUUGGGCGUAAAGAGCUCGUAGGCGGUCUGUUGCGUCGGCUGUGAAAACCCGGGGCUCAACUCCGGGCCUGCAGCCGAUACGGGCAGACUAGAGUUCGGCAGGGGAGACUGGAAUUCCUGGUGUAGCGGUGAAAUGCGCAGAUAUCAGGAGGAACACCGAUGGCGAAGGCAGGUCUCUGGGCAUUAACUGACGCUGAGGAGCGAAAGCAUGGGGAGCGAACAGG